AGUCACUGACAUUAGAUACCCGGGUAGUCCUAGCCGUAAACGAUACUCGCUAGGUGUCGGCCACGGUGCGACCGUUGUCGGUGCCGUAGGGAAGCCGUGAAGCGAGCCACCUGGGAAGUACGGCCGCAAGGCUGAAACUUAAAGGAAUUGCGGGGGAGCACCACAACGGGUGGAGCCUGCGGUUUAAUUGGACUCAACGCCGGGAAGCUCACCGGAUAAGACAGCGGAAUGAUUGCCGGGCUGAAGACCCUGCAUGACCAGCUG
rnacentral:rRNA from 1 species